AUCCGUAGGUGGCCCGCGUUGUCCUUCUUUAUUUUGCUUCCAGCGAGCUCCGGCUUUUUCUUACUUCUGAUGUGAAAGCCCCCGGCUCAACCGGGGAGGGUCAUUGGAAACUGGGAGACUUGAGUGCAGAAGAGGAGAGUGGAAUUCCAUGUGUAGCGGUGAAAUGCGUAGAUAUAUGGAGGAACACCAGUGGCGAAGGCGGCUCUCUGGUCUGUAACUGACGCUGAGGCUCGAAAGCGUGGGGAGCAAACAGGAUUAGAUACCCUGGUAGUCCACGCCGUAAACGAUGAGUGCUAAGUGUUGGAGGGUUUCCGCCCUUCAGUGCUGCAGCUAACGCAUUAAGCACUCCGCCUGGGGAGUACGACCGCAAGGUUGAA
rnacentral:rRNA from 1 species